rnacentral:lncRNA from 1 species
UUCUCCCAUCGCACUCCAGUGACUCCUUGUGGCAGUCGGGGCGCAUACACCCUGACUUCGGUUGUACGAUGUUUACUGGUCCUGUUUUAGCAGACCAAUAUAGACAUCUUCAGGGUUGGCAUUUUUUUUAUUUCUGCAUGCUCUGGCCAAACGCUACCCUAUGUAGGCCCACGGACGUCACAUCAUUGGGCUCAAAUCAUGCGGUCAAUAAGGACAUCAUCCACACAGCUGUAGGUAAAGAUGAUCAGGUGAAAAAGGAUGAUGCCUCUGGCCAGGAACAGAACGCCCUAUUUGGAUGGGGGAAGAAGAAGGACAAAGAUGGGGAUAAGUGUGUGUCCAAGGACAAAUCAAAGGACCAUGACAAAUCGAAGGACUGUAAGCACCAUGACAAAUCAAAGGACCAUAAGGAGGACAAAGACAAGUCUAAGGAACAUAAAGACAAGAAACAUGGUGACAAGAAGGACAAAGGUCAUAAGAAGAAGAAAGACAAGAAGCCAAAGGAGCAUAAGGACAAAGAUGAUGGGUCAUCAUCUUCCUCGUCCAGCAGCGAUGAGGAUGAAGGCAAGAAGAAGCAUCACUGAUUCUGGUGCUGUGAGGAAGUGCUACUGCCGGUGAACUCUUACAAUGUUUUGUACUGCAAUGUUGCAUGCAUGAUAUUUACUGUGUACUGUUUCCUUGUUGCUCCUGAUCAUGUUUUGAUGUGCCAGACUGUAAAGUAGUGGUUUUACAACCGAAUAUUAAAUAACCCAACAACCAGGAUAUAUGGUGAAUGUCAGACUUCUUUCCUCCCUCGUAAAAAGUCUAAUGUCCACCAGAAGGGGGAGGUGUUCUUCAUUGAAUGUUUAUUUAACCU